rnacentral:lncRNA from 1 species
AUAUAAUGUGUGUCUAGCAAAUAUAUAGGCAUACAGACUUUUCAUGAUGCAGUUAUACUGAAUUUACUAUAUACAAUAUUCUUGGAGGGUUCUCUUGUCUCUUGCUAUCAUCAAAAGAGCAAAUAUAAUUUUUAAGUUUUAUUACUUUAUUUCUAGAACUCUUGUCUCUAAGGUGUUAAUGUAAACUAUUUUGAAAAAUCUUAUUUAAAAUUCAAAAAAGCUUGCAAAUGAUUUCUUGUAUUCUCCUUGAC